rnacentral:rRNA from 1 species
CCUACGGGGGGCUGCAGUGGGGAAUAUUGGACAAUGGGCGAAAGCCUGAUCCAGCCAUGCCGCGUGUGUGAAGAAGGCCUUCGGGUUGUAAAGCACUUUCAGUGGGGAAGAAAGCCUUGGGGCUAAUACCCUCGAGGAAGGACAUCACCCACAGAAGAAGCACCGGCUAACUCCGUGCCAGCAGCCACGGUAAUACGGAGGGUGCGAGCGUUAAUCGGAAUUACUGGGCGUAAAGCGCGCGUAGGCGGUCUGAUAAGCCGGUUGUGAAAGCCCCGGGCUCAACCUGGGAACGGCAUCCGGAACUGUCAGGCUAGAGUGCAGGAGAGGAAGGUAGAAUUCCCGGUGUAGCGGUGAAAUGCGUAGAGAUCGGGAGGAAUACCAGUGGCGAAGGCGGCCUUCUGGACUGACACUGACGCUGAGGUGCGAAAGCGUGGGUAGCAAACAGGAUUAGAUACCCCUGUAGUC